AAAGUAUAUAUGUGUAUGUAUUCUUUAAUCUGAACCACCUCAAUGCAAUUUUGUGCCAUUUCCACACACCCUGCCAUCAGUCACCAAGAAGAUUUCAAGCUGGCUGUCUCUUGAGCCACACUAGCUAUAUCUGCAAAAUGUAUCUUGUUUACGACUUACAGGGAGAGUCCUAGUGAGAACAACUCAAGAUAAUUAGAUGUGAUUAAUAAAAUACCUGAGGCAUAUCCUCCUUUCCUUACUGACCUUGCUGCAGAAGAGCUUUGAGCUGCUUUAGAGAAAGUACUGAGCCCUUCUGUUUUAGUGCUCCAGCAGCCACAACUUCAUAAAGGGUUUUAGUGCUCCAGCACAGAAGAUAACUUUGGGGAGAAAGAGACAAAUGAGUCUUCCUGAAUCCAGGAGCCAAGCUCCCCAUGUGGAGAUGCAUGGCAAAUAUGUGAGUUGCUGUUGCCCUGGAGCUACAGCAACAGCUGCCAAGCAGCUGGGCUGAGCAGGGAAGACCUCUGAUGUACCUUUUCAGCAAAUUGUCCGUUUAUUUUGAUUCUGCAUAGAUUUCAGGAUUUUGGCAAGAGGAGCUAUGGAAAAGCUUUUAAGCAGAGAAUGGAUUUAGGAGAACAUGGGAAACAUUGGGAAAUUCAGAGAUACUGCAUACUAAUAUUCACAUAAGCAAGUCUACAUGAGCUGAACCCUGGGAUGAUAAUAGACUUGGCAGUCAUUUUCUCUGAACCUCUUCCAGUUUCUAAAAAUUUGCAGACAACUGAGGCAAGGGAGAGUCUUGAAAAACUACAGAAAUGGUAUUGGUAUUUGAAUCAGUAGUACAGAGAGUUGAGAGAGGAAAAUAAUUUUAAAUGAAGAAAUUCUUAGCAAAAAUAUGAGAGUUUGAUUUGUUUUCAUUUCAGUUUUUCUAAUAAGCAUUAAUUGAAAAUAGCAACAAAUAAUCAGAAAUGAAGUUACUGUGUCUAUAUAGGAAAGUUGUAGAUUAGCUGUUUGAUGUAUCAGAAUACAGACAGUCAGCUGAGUAUUUGUAUAGUUUCCCUGAUCGCUUUCUUUUCUAAACAGAAUGGGUUAAAUUUAGUAUAUGAUGGUACAUUAAUUUGUCUUAGAACACAUGUGAAGAGGAAGAAAAAAAAAAAACACAAAGCCUAAUUUUCCUAAUUACUAACCAUGGAAAAGAGCUUUUGCUUAAAAAAAAAAAAAAUCCUCUGAUUUUGUGCAGAGGAAGGAGUGUGAGUAAAAAUGCCUGGAAUUUGGCUUUGUGGAGAUUGUGAACCUGUUUUUCAGUAUGAAGUUUAUGGGAUAAAAUACUCACUUGAGUAAAUUCAGCUGUGUCCAGGUAUACACCUGCAUUAUAUUGAGCAGAAGUUUCCUCUCUGAAACUGCUUCCAAAAGAGGAUUAUGCUCCUCAGAAUAAGGACAUAACAGCACAAAAAGGACAGUAUCUUCUUAAAAUUAAAAAUGCCUCUUUAUCAUUAGGAGGUUGGCUGUAAAACACAUCAGUUUGAAACUACUGAAGAGUGUUGGGUGCAUACGUGGCUGCUGAUAGGAACUGGUAGGUAGAUGGAGCCAUAGAUACUUUGAUGCCAUUGCUUUUCUUGUUUGAUUCGUAUAUCUCGUUUUAUCUGGGUAAAAUAGGAAAAAUCUGGUAGAUAUAUUAUUAUAGGAAAAUCUGUUAGCAAAAGCACAAACGAGAGCUUCAUCACAAUGGGAUCAGUUUAAUCCUCUGCAAAGCAAAUAUCAGAGAGCUUCAACAACUGUUCUGGCCACCCUGUCAGUUGUGAGUGACAGUUGCUUGGAUUCAGCUUCCUAGAUGGGUGCAUAUCUCUGAUCUAUGUUUUAAUCAUCUGUUUUCACUGUUAAUACUGCUUGAAUAUUUUCAGUCUAUUGUUGGAGUAACUUGCAGAAAUCCUGUACAAUUUUCUGCUGCAGUUCACAGAGAGAUUUUUUUUUUUUAAACAGAGGGAAAAGCUGCUUUUAUUUUUAAGCAUUCAUGCUGCUCUAUCAGGAGGUAUUCAGGUUUUCUUUCUCUUGUCUGCACCUCAGGACUUAAACCACAAUUUAAAUUCUACUGGUUUUGGACUGGUCAUUGCUGAAAACUAAGAAGAGCUAUGGAUGAAGCUUGAGUGUGACUGACAUGUUCAUAUUCAUCAGAAAACAGUCAUCGGGAAAGAAUGAGUGGAGUAAUUGUUAGAUUGUUCCCUCCUUCACUGCUUGUGCAAAAUACAUAGGCUGCAGGGAGGAAGCUACCUGAGGUUAUUAAGAUUAAUACUGCUAGAAAUUCCAAUCAGCUCACACAAGGCUGCUCCUCAAGGCUGUCAGAUGCCUACUUCCUUCUCUGAUUCAGGAGGGUGCAGUUCUGCAUUGAGAGCUUCAUCUCAAGGAUUCCUAUCACAGGAAAGACAUUGUGGAACCUAGAAAAGAGCAACUUAAUUUUGCCGUCAGGCCUGUUUGACAGCCUUAUGAGCUGAUUUAAGACCCAUCAGAACUGGCGAGUAAGUAUUCUGGGCUCUUCCAGUAUUGUCCAUGACUGAGUCUGAGGCAGUUCUGGUUUCUGCAUUGUGGUAUAAUGUCUGCUGGAAAAGCUAAUGUGUUUUACUACCUAGAGUUUGCUAACCAUUUUACUAUUCAUUGGGGGUGAGGGAGAUUGUUUAUAUCUGUCUGUUGUAAAUUACUUCCUAGUGAUAAGUUUUAUUAAUAUUUCACUUUUGGAUCUUGUGAAUUUUUCUGGAGUAGUGAUCAGUAACAAUUCUCUCUAUAGUGAAGGGAGCUCUGUUGUAUCCCUGAUGACAUUAGAGUUUUGAUAAAUAUGUCUCUGAGUUUAUCAUUUGUCUUCCCACGUAGCCCCAAAAAAUAAAAUUCUGGGUGGAUUGUUCUAGAAAAAGUACUGAACGUAAAAUGCAUUUACAUUUACUACCAAAUGUAAAAGAACAGGAUAAAGCUUUGUGUGAUGAUUGAGUGGAAGUCAAUAGGGAAUGGAAAGCCAAGCAAGAGUUGCAGAUAAACAUCUUCUUAUCAUAAACAGUAUUUUUAUUGUCAUCGAAGAGAGCUGCUAUCAGGAGAGGUUAUAUGGGGGAAGGCAAUGGCUUCUGUUUGGGUAUCUUGAAAUGUGGAGAAAAAUUUGGCAAGCAGGAUGUCGACCCAUGUUUAAUAAGCUACCAGGCCUAACACAAGUUUAUUCCCCAUUUUCACUAAGAUUCUUGGAGUGAAUUUUGCUGGCUAGGAAUGUGUCAGCAGAUUGGGGAAGGCUUAUACUUUGCUACCUGAUUCUCUGUCAGAGUUGCCACAUUCUAGCUCUGUUUUUCCCUUUUGGAUUUUAUACCUCAUAUAUCUUUGCGGUUUUUUUUUUUAUUUUCCCUACUGAAUGCUUGAACAACUGUUUCCCACCACAACAGCCUUCCAUCUGUAAUCUUCUGUUAAUCUUUGUGGCUUUUCUCCAGACUUUCAUACAUCCUUUUGCCUCAACUCAUCACCUUUUUUGGAAUUCAGAACAAAAGCUGUGUAGCAUGACAUAAAUGUCAGGUUGGCAGAGUAAGAGCAGAUUUCUCAGGAGUUCCAGACUAUGUGGAAAAAAAAAAAAGGAUGAAUUUAUUCUGUAAUGAGUCGGGGAUGUAGGCUGAUGCAAGAGAUAUGCCUUACCCUAGGUGAUUUAUGUAAGCAUGAAUAUACUCAUGCUCAUGAAACAUAACCUGGCCUGGCCUGCAUAUGACCUUAUUAUCUGGUCACCCAUGGCUCGAGAGCCUUGGGGUAGCUCCUUUCACCUUGUGCUGAAGAACUGCCAUGGGCUUGAAAGGAAUAAUUAAGUAUUUCUCCAAGCUCUUAUUCUUUCAGUGUGCUUGCCUUGAAAUUCAAUAUUUUAGAUCAUUUUUCACAUACUUGAAAUUAAAAUAAACAUUAUCUAUUCAUUCAGUUUUAUAGAAGGAGGAUGGAGGCUUCAGAAUUGAAGGAACCAGUAGGAUUUGGGGAUGAAGUAGUCUGACUACAUGUAGAGAUUUGAGAACCAGGUGUAAACUGGUACCAUGUUUCAGAGCCCAGUAUGACCACGGACAAUUAGGACAAUGAUUUGUUAUGGUCCCUAUUUGCUGUAGAUAUUACUGUAUAUUGUACUAAAAUCCUUUUUUGUACAGUUUAAAAAAUGUCCUGUGGAGUAUAAGAUCUCUUAGUGAUGUGUUCAGUAUUGUGGCAGCACCACUAUGUAGUACCACAUAAGUAAGUUCAAAUAUAAGUACUAACUUCAAAAUAGGUAUUUUAAGACUUCAUGUCCCUUUUUAAUUGCUUGCAAGUAGGAAGAUUUUUCCAUAAAUAAUUUUUUUUGAAUCUCCUUACUGAGAUCUACUCACUAUGAAAUACACACUGCCUCGGAAUGGUGGGGAAGACAUAGUGAAAAAUCUGCUACUUAGAUGGGAUAUGGAUAUAAACAAAAUCAAGUUUGGGUUUGGGACUUAGCAUGAAAUUACAGCACAAAAUAACUGCGUUAUAUGCAGAAAAUUUUAAUAGAAAAAGUCAAGAUUAAUGCAUUCUGUGUGGUCUUUUCUGGUGUGCAGAGAACAGCAGAAGGGAUUGUGGCAGGAUUGUCUCACUGGUGUUUUUGCUCUACUGCUGUGAAAAGCAUUUUCAAUACUUGCAUAAUUUAGAGCAUGACAUUAUGAUUUUCAAAGCUUCAAAUUGGAGUAAAGCAUUUACAUAAUCUAAUUAAAUCAUGUAAAUGUUUUAUGAUAAUAUUCAAGUAAGUGCAAAACUUGUUUCACAGAUGCAUCCCAUUCUUAGGCCAUUGGGAAAACCCAAUUUAAGCAUGCAGAUGGAUGUUACUAACCAUGCAUGCUCUGGGAGGUCAACAGGGUGCUUACUGAAUGCUCUGUUCUUAGUAUAACCUCUGACGCCUGUUUCACACAGCAUCAUCUUUCCAAGAGCUUGAAGGUAAACCGAUACCAGAGGGAAAGGCAAAGCAGAUUUAAAAGGCUACUUGCAAACUCUUAUAAUUUGAAUGAAAGCGAUGCUGCCGCGAUACGUAAUAAAUUGCUUCAAUUUCGGUGAACAUUAAAAUAAUCCCGUGGUGAUCCUCUUAGCAGCAGCUCUGCCACAUGUAGUAUCAGAUCUCACAAAGUAUGCAUAGUACUUGGAUGGGAAGCUACCAGGGGAAACCCCACAAGCUCUCUUGGUGACUACUAGGUUUGUUUUUGCCUCUGGCUGUGCUAACUCACAAAAUACUGGAAGCACUUGGCCAGCAUCCAUGAUGAGAGAUGCUAUCUUGUAAUGAGAUUUUUUUUAAGAAAUCUUUUUUUUUGUUUGUUUCCAAGCACAUUGUCACUAAACUGUCUUCAACAGUAGUUCUUCGGUGAAUCCUGUCUUUUUUCUCCUAAUACUGCAGUGAGUGAGUCCUAAUUUUCCAAAUUUAGGCAAGCUAAUACUAAGCUAGUACUAGCAGCAUUUUUUGAAGUGCAGUGCUGCAUUGCUCAGAUGAAUUUUUGUUAUUAGCAAAUGUAGGUUCUCUGAGACCAGGUUGCUGUCUCUUCUAAAUAAAAUCAUUGCAGUUUACUUUUAUUAUUGCUGUACUAAUUUACUGUAACUGAUGACAGAAAUGUGUGUAUAUACUGCCAGGUGUUCUGUGCUUUCACAGUAAUGGCUAGGAAGCACUAGGGUGUUAUCUGUGCCAGGCUGCUGAUGCAAGCGGUGUGCUGUUAGGAAUGUGGGAUGGACUGCAUACAGAGUGCUGACCUGGUUUGUGCAUAUAUCAUAACUGUGAUAUUAGGCCAGCAGCACUCAUUUUUAUCCAAAAGUGAUAUAAGGGAAGCCUGUAUCUAACAUACCUCUCAAUUUGGCUAUUAUAAUUAUGUUGUUUACUGCCGCAACACGUAAUAAUAUGCAAAAUAGUAAAUUAGCUUGGAGCUCAGUGGUAUGGGAAGCUGUGGAUACAUGAAAUUCAUGUCUGAAGUAGCUCUCAGGAAGGUGAAAUAUACCAGUAAUGAAUUAAAUAUUUGCUAAUUAGACAUAGAAAUACAAUUACUUAACAGAUUUUUCAUCUGAUUUUUGUGGGAGUGAAGCCAGUGUAAAUUUAAAAUGGAAGCUAAGGAGUUCAGCACAUAGUGUUAACUGCCAAGGAGAACAAUGCAGUGACCUUAUUCAAAACUACACAUGCAUCAUGUGUAGGAAUGCCUGUCAUAGCCAUAAUGAUUUAACAUCAGGGCAGGCCAAUAUUUCUUGGUUCUUCCUCCGCACUGUAGGCAGUUUCCUUUAGAAGUGGAAUGGGAAGCUGUAGGUGUUUCUGGUGAAAAAUGGUAAUGCUGGAGAGGUGCCCUUUACUACAAAUCCAGCACUGCUGCUUGCUUUCAUUUGACUUAAGAAAAAGGAUUUGCAAAGUCACAGCCUGGUAGAUGAAGUCGGAGUUGGAUGAAGCUUAAGUUUCAGCAUGCUUGGAUUCUGUAUUUUGCUUUACUCAGUUGUUGGUUACACUGUAUUUAAAUAUAGUAGGUUACAUUGGGAAAGAUUUUUAAAGCAGAGAAUAUUUAAUUGCAGAAAAGGAAUGUUUUUCCUUUAAAAUCUGCAAUAUUUUGGUUACUGGAGAUGCUUAGAUUUAGACUGGAAAGCUCAGAGAACCGAUGUUUAACUCGAACCACUAGGACAUACGCACAGCUAUUUGUAACUAAGGAGUUUUUGUACAAGUAAAAAAAAAGAAAAAAGUAUAACAAAAUACCACAUGUUAAUUGUUGUUAAUAGUUCUAUUAUAAAAUCUUUGUUACCUUUCAAUACUGAACUGAUAUGAGCCUGAUAUAUCACCUGUGUAGCUACUAAAAGAUCUUGAGUGCCAGUCAUCAACCAUGAUAGAAAGAGGCUUUGUAAGUAUCUGAUCCACAAAUGCCCAUGGUCACCGAAUCAUCUCCACAGUCUACAAGCUGCUCUUUUAUUGCUGUGUGGAUUGUCUUCAACUAUGGACAAUUAUAUCCACAUUUCAUCACAAGGCAAAGCACUCAUUUUUUUUUUUUAAUUGCUGAAAAUUGUUGCAAUUUGGUUUUCUUUUUAAAUUCCUGCUUCCAAAGUACUUUAAUGUUUUCAAAAAAAUUGAUUUGAAAAGUUUAGGAGAAUGUCGAAUAAAUUGAAGAACAGCUAAAACAAACUUUAAUUCUCUCUACACACAUAUAGAAAACUGGUUUUCAACCUUAGCAAUAUCCCCAGAUGCAUAUUAGCUACCUCUGCAACUAUAAGAUUCAGCUCAUAAAACUGAAUUACUUUAAGAGAAAUAAAUACUAAGGAAUAAAAUGAACAGCAAGAAGUCUUUCCCUGUUUCUCACAGUACAAAAUCUACAGGUUAGCAAGUUUAAAACAAACAAAAAAUACUUUUUCUUAUAGCACAUAAUUUUUGUGGUAGAACUCAUCACUUGGUGGAAUGAAAACCAAAGGAAUAAGGAAAUUAAAUCAUAGAAUCAAAGAAUAUCCUGAGUUAGAGAAGACCCAUGGGGUUCAUCGAGUCCAACUCCCGGCCCCACAAAGGACCACCCAAAAAUCAGACCAUAUGUCUGAGAGUGUUUUUGCCUUAGGAAGUCUUUAGUUUGGAUUGCUGAGAAUUCAGCGAGUGAUCAACCACACAUCACUGAAGUGCUUGUGGUCUUGCAUACUCUUAAAUCGUUUCUACUGAUCUAUCUUGGAGUUAAAGUGCAGAUUAGAUACACUGUUAAUAUGAUUUAUUAGGGCGAUUCUGUCAUCCCUAGGAUUGCAGUCUGACCUUCAUGAAUAGCCAUCUCGUUACUUAGAGCUAUGCCAUUCUCAACAUUUUGAGUAGCUUCUGAGCAACUUAAUAAAUGUGCGUGUGGUUCAUCAAACAAUAUAGCUGUACCUGGAGCAUGUAUGAAAGCUACCAUCACUAUGCAAGUAAAACUCGAUCAAGGUAAGCUUGAUACAGAGCUCACUGAUGAUGAUGAAACAUUAACUAUAGGCUUGUGUUCAAUCUUUAGAGAGGGAUCGUUUUGAUUAGCAGUUUAAAUGGAAAAGAAUGCCUAACCAAAUAUAAUAAGGAGAAGAGAUUUCUCUGUGUUUCAUAACAAAAAUUCUAGCGUUGUCUUAUCAAACUUUAUAAAAUGAUUUUUAAACAUCCUAUGCACUGAAGGAUGAUCUAAGUAUUCAGUUUCUUUGACUUGAGGAGCUGGUGGUGGUGGAGAAAGAAUCUGAACUUAGUUUUUAUGUAAAACUAUUACUGUUAGAGACUGGCAUACGUUCGUUCAGUACUUCUUCUAAAGUUUUUUCUUAACCAUUUAAAUUAUCAUCCUAGCAUGUUCCCUACCGGUUUGUAACAUAUUCACCACUUUUGCUGCUUUCUUUUAGACAGAUUUUCACGAAUGCCAUAGUUAGUGUCUCUGAGUGCAUACUGAACAUGAACAAAACAGGGAAGCACGGUCUGAUCUUCAGCAUACCCUGAGUUCUAACAUGGUUCUUCUCUUGUCCUUGAUCAAAGUGAUUGACGUGUUAUUGUGGUUGGCUGAAGCUUAAAACGACACCUGGUUGUUUUUAGUUUUUGUUUUCCUUCUGACUUGGGAAUGCCCUGGGGCCUGUUAAUCUUUGUGUUCUGCAUAUAGAAUUUGUUUUGUCCUCCAAAGCUGCAGUGUCUGUACACAUAAUAUGAUUAAUUUUAUUUGUGUAGUAUCCAACUGUAACAAAGAAAAAUAAAGAUCCCUUUUGUAAUAACAAAGUAGCUUAAGUCAUUUACUCAGGUAAGUUAGAUGUGAUGUGCCUGAAAAUUUACCCUUGGUGUCUGAGGAUUCUGUCCAGAAACUCAGUUGCUAGGUCAUCCUUCUUAGUUUUACAGAGGCGUUACAUCCUAUUGAUACUUAACAAUACCAUCAUGAUUCAAGGAGGCACCUGUUGAUGUAGUUCUAUGUUAGAUACAUUUGUAACUGGAAGAAGAUAGUUAAAUGGUUGAUGCCCAGAGGUUGCUUUUAAGUGCUUCAGGCAAUUUGGCAACCAAAGUCACAUUCACAAGAAGAUCCCACCCAGUGCACACAGUUCUAGUUAAUAGUUGGAGAUCAGUAGAGGAAAAAGCAGAAGUGGAAGCAAGCACUGAAACUGGCUCGUGUGUUCCAUACCUUGUUGUAGGUCAUGGUGAUGACUUCCAUGCUUUAGUCACAGUCCCAUCAGGUUUUCUUUCACCUUUAGGGACUAAAAGAAUAGGUGAAACGAAUGGAAGAGCUGUGAAUUAUGAGAAUAAAACCUCUGCACUGUGGUUUGGAAUUUAAUAGUUUUUCAUGAUCUAUUCCUGCAAUGUAUGGUCAGUUACUGCUCUGCUGUGAUGACAUGUGAUCUUAAGUGUUCGGAAGGGAGUUUAAUUAA